UACGUAGGGGGCAAGCGUUGUCCGGAUUUAUUGGGCGUAAAGAGCGUGUAGGCGGCCAUUCAGGUCAGCUGUGAAAACUCGAGGCUCAACCUCGAGACGUCGGUUGAAACCGUAUGGCUAGAGUCCGGAAGAGGAGAGUGGAAUUCCCGGUGUAGCGGUGAAAUGCGCAGAUAUCGGGAAGAACACCCAUGGCGAAGGCAGCUCUCUGGGACGGUACUGACGCUGAGACGCGAAAGCGUGGGGAGCGAACAGG
rnacentral:rRNA from 1 species